rnacentral:rRNA from 1 species
UACGAAGGGGGCUAGCGUUGCUCGGAAUUACUGGGCGUAAAGCGCACGUAGGCGGCCUCUUAAGUCGGUGGUGAAAUCCUGGAGCUCAACUCCAGAACUGCCUUCGAUACUGGGAAGCUCGAGUCCGGGAGAGGUGAGUGGAACUGCGAGUGUAGAGGUGAAAUUCGUAGAUAUUCGCAAGAACACCAGUGGCGAAGGCGGCUCACUGGCCCGGUACUGACGCUGAUGAGCGAAAGCCAGGGGAGCAAACGGG